rnacentral:lncRNA from 1 species
UCCAAUUAAAAUUUUAUUAAUUAUAGCAAGUAGAAUAUGAGCAAAAACAGUGCUGGACGACAGGGGAGUCUGCGCUCCGCCAACUGCCGUCCUGAGCAGUUCAAACAGUCCCUUUUUAUACAUCUUUACUUCCGUGUUCAUGAAGUAGUGGAGGUACUCUGCGCAUGCUUCAGUUGUUGUUAGGGGGUCGUUUUCUGCCUCCUGGUGGUCGUUGAGGCCGAAGUAAGAAGUCUUCCUCCUUUGUCCCAUAGUUGACCCCUCAUUCAUAUGUCCUUAUAUGGGGUUGUUUGUCCUGUUUCUGUCGGUUCCUGGAAGUCUGGCGGUUAUCUCGCGAUUGUGGUUAUCUUAUUUUAGUCAAGCGGUGUCUGGUAGCUGUUUGCAUAAGCGAUUUCACAUCUUUUGUUGCCUAACCUUUACAUUGAGCUUAACAUAAAUCUUAAUAAACAAUAUCCUAGUCCAUAGUUUCUCACAAGACAUCCAGUACCUACUGAGUGGCUACAAAAAAUAUAGAAAUUCUCUUGUUGCAAGGAACUACAUGGAGAAGAUGUGAGAAACUAUGGACUAGGAUAUUGUUUAUUAAGAUUUAUGUUAAGCUCAAUGUAAAGGUUAGGCAACAAAGAUGUGAAAUCGCUUAUGCAAACAGAAACCCAGACACUGCUUGAGUAAGAUAAGAUAACCACAAUCGCGAGAUAACCGCCAGACUUCCAGGAACCGACAGAAACAGGACAAACAACCCCAGAUAAGGACAUGUGAAUGAGGGGUCAACUAUGGGAUAAAGGAGAAAGACUUCUUAUUUCGGCCUCAACGACCACCAGGAGGUAGAAAACGAUCCCCUAACAACAACUGAAGCAUGCGCAGAGUACCUCCACUACUUCAUGAACACGGAAGUAAAGAUGUAUAAAAAGGGACUGUUUGAACUGCUCAGCACGGCAGUGGCGGAGCGCAGACUCCCCUGUCGUCCAGCGCUGUUUUUGCUCAUAUUCUACUUGCUAUAAUUAAUAAAAUUUUAAUUG